rnacentral:lncRNA from 1 species
AGUCACUUAAUUGUUAUUUUAUUACUAAAUAACCAUAUGUAAAGAUAUGUAUAGGUAUUAGAAAGCUAAAAUCCAGGGGGGCAUGGCCCCUCCUGGACCCAAAGAGCCUCCGCCACUGAGUGGUACGUAUUUUCCGAGUUUUGGUCCAAAUCCUAUCUUUUUUGGAUCGGUAAUCAUUUUGAGCUAGUUUCGUUGAGUAUUUGGUCCUCUGAAAAUUAAAAAGAUUAAAAUACCCUUUUAUAUUUAUUUUUACAGUUUUAUCAAUUAAAAAGCAAGAGAGGCCCACCCACCUCUCUCUCUGUCACACACACACCCAAAAUCAAAAUUACACCCACCUAGUUGGGUCUUCUAUGUUAGCGAUUGAGAAAGCAGAAAACGCACACAUACACCUUGUGUCCGUGCGAUAAUAGGUAUAGAAAGAGAGAGAUAAGGGUUUGACGGAGGUGACCCAAAGGGUGGUGGUUCAAGGUGGCUUAUGGAAAAGGUAAUGGUGGUUGGAGAUGAAAAAACAGUGCUUUGAGUCGGCGAAGGCAAUGGUGGGGGGAGGUGGCCUAACCGACGGCAUAACUGAUCCAAGGCCAGGAACCAUCGCUAACAAAAUAGCUUUGUUUCCCCACCUACCUUUUAGUCAAGCACGAUCUCGAACACAACCAGCAAAUCUGAUACAGUCUAUUUCAUACGCAUCUCUUUGAUGUUACCCCUCUUUCUAUCAUCUCCUAGUUGUGGUGUUUCCCCUCUUUCUGUCAUCUCCGACCAACAACAACCUUUCCUCCUCGUAUGAUUCGUCUUCUCGGUGACCCAUGAGAGAAAUUUCAAACAAAAAAAAACCCAUAUACAAAAUCAUUAUUAGUGAUUCAAACCCCAAUAAUAGCUAGAAAUAAAUAUUCAGAAAUGCGACUAUGAAGUAUAGAUGAAUUGUUAUACAUACUAUAAUUAUCAAGUAUGAACAUAAAAUAUUCAAGUGGUGUUAUAACAACGAACAGAAUACCUACAAUUUCUGACAAAAUUGUCCUAAAAUUAUACGACUGUGCAUGAAGCAUUUUGGGCAAUACUGACCUUCUCGUUCAAAGAAUUACACUUGGAGUUGACAAAGGCAUCGACAUCGAAUUUAUCGAACUUGAAGAUGUUGAGAAUUUCCUCAAGCUUGGGUCAGUUUCCUUGGAGUUGGCUUUGACAGAGGCGUCUCCUCUUGACUGAGAUGACAACUUAGAAGACCUAGGGCUGGAAUCAGAUAAGUGUAAAGAAGACGAUUAUAAGAGACGGAAGUGGUUUGUUGAAUGAAUCAAAAUCUCAUAUAUGAAUUUUUGAUAAUUGUAAGAGGGUAAAGAAUUGGCAUCGAAGAGACAAUUAUGGAAUGAUGAUGGAUCAAGGAUCAAAGCGAUAGUUGGCUACGUCGUAUAUCUACGAGAGAGAGAAAGAGGGAGAGA